rnacentral:rRNA from 1 species
CCUACGGGAGGCAGCAGUGGGGAAUAUUGCACAAUGGGCGAAAGCCUGAUGCAGCAACGCCGCGUGAGGGAUGACGGCCUUCGGGUUGAAACCUCUUUUAGUAGGGAAGCGGUACCUGCAGAAAAAGCACCGGCUAACUACGUGCCAGCAGCCGCGGUAAUACGUAGGGUGCAAGCGUUGUCCGGAAUUAUUGGGCGUAAAGAGCUCGUAGGCGGUUUGUCGCGUCUGCUGUGAAAUCCCGAGGCUCAACCUCGGGCUUGCAGUGGGUACGGGCAGACUAGAGUGCGGUAGGGGAGAUUGGAAUUCCUGGUGUAGCGGUGGAAUGCGCAGAUAUCAGGAGGAACACCGAUGGCGAAGGCAGAUCUCUGGGCCGUACUGACGCUGAGGAGCGAAAGCAUGGGGAGCGAACAGGAUUAGAUACCCUUGUAGUC